rnacentral:rRNA from 1 species
GUGCCAGCAGCCGCGGUAAUACAGAGGGUGCAAGCGUUGUUCGGAAUUAUUGGGCGUAAAGCGCGUGUAGGCGGCCUUGCAAGUUGGGUGUGAAAGCCCUCGGCUUAACCGAGGAAGUGCGCCCAAAACUACGAGGCUUGAGUGCCGGAGAGGGUGGCGGAAUUCCCGGUGUAGAGGUGAAAUUCGUAGAUAUCGGGAGGAACACCAGUGGCGAAGGCGGCCACCUGGACGGUAACUGACGCUGAGACGCGAAAGCGUGGGGAGCAAACAGGAUUAGAUACCCCCGUAGUCC